rnacentral:rRNA from 1 species
GGUUGCGAUCAUACCAGCACUAAUGCACCGGAGUCCAUCAGAACUCCGCAGUUAAGCGUGCUUGGACGAGAGUAGUACUAGGAUGGGUGACCCCCUGGGAAGUCCUCGUGUUGCAACCCC